rnacentral:rRNA from 1 species
AGUGAACGCUGGCGGUAGGCCUAACACAUGCAAGUCGAACGGCAGCGCAGUAAGAGCUUGCUCUUACGGGUGGCGAGUGGCGGACGGGUGAGGAAUACAUCGGAAUCUACUUUUUCGUGGGGGAUAACGUAGGGAAACUUACGCUAAUACCGCAUACGACCUACGGGUGAAAGCAGGGGAUCUUCGGACCUUGCGCGAUUGAAUGAGCCGAUGUCGGAUUAGCUAGUUGGCGGGGUAAAGGCCCACCAAGGCGACGAUCCGUAGCUGGUCUGAGAGGAUGAUCAGCCACACUGGAACUGAGACACGGUCCAGACUCCUACGGGAGGCAGCAGUGGGGAAUAUUGGACGAUGGGCGCAAGCCUGAUCCAGCCAUACCGCGUGGGUGAAGAAGGCCUUCGGGUUGUAAAGCCCUUUUGUUGGGAAAGAAAAGCAGCAGGUUAAUACCCCGCUGUUCUGACGGUACCCAAAGAAUAAGCACCGGCUAACUUCGUG